UACAGAGACUGCAAGCGUUAUUCGGAUUCACUGGGCGUAAAGGGUGCGCAGGCGGUUGGGUGUGUCAGAUGUGAAAUCCCGAGGCUUAACCUCGGAACUGCGUCUGAAACUACUCGACUAGAGUACUGGAGAGGGAAACGGAAUUCACGGUGUAGCAGUGAAAUGCGUAGAUAUCGUGAGGAACACCAGAGGCGAAGGCGGUUUCCUGGACAGUUACUGACGCUCAGGCACGAAAGCAUGGGGGAGCAAAAAGGG
rnacentral:rRNA from 1 species